AAAAGAAAGCAUAAAAUUAUAGUAAGUUCGUCCCUCUCCCACUUCAAUUUUUAGUCUGUUGUGUCGUCAUGCACGUCGAUCACCUUAAAGUAUAAAAAUAAAAAGGACGUGACAACUAGUCAGUAACACAACGACUGAACGACAACAAAUAAUUGAUUCUGAAUACACUGAAUGCCAUACAUUUCCUUUUUAAUUAUGUAAAUAGUUUUUCCAUAAAAUUGUUUAGAUAUGUGAAUUGUGAUGUGAGGUAAACAAAAAACUGAAUAUCCGUUGAAAAUGUCUUACAUUUUUUUUUUUUUUUUUGAAACACUUUGAAAAUGUCUUACAUAUGUAUUCAAAAUAAUACUUCACUAGAUUUUGAUCCGCGCUUUCAAGCGCGAGUUUAUUUUUAUUUUUUUUCAAUUGAAAAAUAUUUAGUAAAUGUCAUAUUUUCAUAUAUUUGUGUUUUAUUUUAUAAAAGAUUUAAAAAUUUUAUCUUUAUUUAUCGUAUUUCAUUUUAAAUAUUUAUUUAUGUUUAAAAAAUUAAAAUUUAUUUCUUUAAUGAAUUAAGUUGGUAUAACUCUGAUAAAUUAAUUUUAU
rnacentral:lncRNA from 1 species